AGGCCCCUGUGCGUAUCGAAGGCCCACGUGCCGACGUGGGCUAUCAGUAGGUACGGCGGGGGCCU
rnacentral:ncRNA from 1 species